CUUGAGACUAGAGUCGCAUCCUGGCAUGGUACUUGUCUUAGUAUGCUAGAGUUCUCAAAAAGAAUCUACUGGUCUUGAUUCACUGAUGGGGGAUGCCUAGAUCAGAAACAUGC